rnacentral:lncRNA from 1 species
GUCCAGGGCCACACCCCUUCCUCUUGAGGCUCAAAUUCUCACCGGGCCCUGGGCUGCAGAGCAGAGUGCUGCUUGCAAGGGAUAGAACAAGACUGGCAGUGUUUCUCCGAACUGCUGUAGACCUGGGUAGAAAAGCAUGUUUAGAAACCGGAAGGAAGAGUAACUAUGCUCUCACAAAAUGCGGGCUCCUGGUUGAGGGCGACCUCUGCCCUCUGUUCUGCUCCCAGCAGUGGACUGCGAAAACCCACACUGCUGGCAGGAGAUGAAAGGGGAUCUUUCAACAUUUCCACCCAUUGUCUGCACUUUCUCCCUGCUUGGUCACCCUCAGAUUUGUUAUGGAAUUGCGUUACUGUGGGGCUUUCCCUGCCCCCAGAAACAACUCUGAGAGAAGAGCCAGCAGCUGAGUAAAUUUGCGUUCCAGAGAGGAGAACACAGAAGCACAUGACGAAGUGAAGCCGGCCUGGGGUGAGCGUGGGGGCUUGGACUCUACCGAGGGGCACUGGGGGGUCCACUAUGGCGCAGGAACCAGAAGACCCGUGCUGAAAUCCUGAUUACUCUGUGACUUUGCAUGACUUUGACCAAGGUACUUACUAUCUGUAACCUUCAGCAAGUUUAUUGAUGCAAAUAGGAAAUUCUGCCUUUUUUGUGUGUGGUCUUGUGAAAAUUAAAAAAAAAAAACAACUAAGAGAUAUGAACACGUGUCUUUUCCAUUCUUUCUCUCUCCUGGCACAUCCCUUUCACCUGCCUGUCUCUGACUGGAAGGAAGCUUUAAGAUGGCUGCAUGAAAGACGCAGGAAAACUAAAUUGGAAACUUGGAGCACUUAGCAGCUCCACCUAACCAAUGAGGAAUUGUAGUUCUUAGCACCGAUGUGGCAGAGUUAGUUCAGAAAAUGUGGAGCUAUAGAAGAAACAGAGAGAGGGAGGAAGGAAAGAAGAAAUGAAUGAACGGACUCCACAGUUGCUUGCUAAGUGCCUGAAAUGAGCCCAGCUCUGUUGCGUAAUGAAUAACACAGGCUACACACAUUCAGCUCCAUGCUGCUGGUGCCUUGGCUAAACUCGAGGCCGGAUCCAUCAUCCGUCUGCUUCCUGGACAGCUCCUGAUGUCCCACAGG